rnacentral:rRNA from 1 species
GAUGAACGCUGGCGGCGUGCCUAAUACAUGCAAGUCGAGCGAACAGACGAUGAGCUUGCUCCUCUGACGUUAGCGUCGGACGGGUGAGUAACACGGUGAUAACCUACCUAUAAGACUGGGAUAACUUCGUGACACCGGAGCUAGUACCGGAUAAUAUCUUGAUCCUCAUGAUUCCAUAGUGAUAGAUUGAUUUGCUCUAUCUUAUCGAUAGAUCCGCGCCGAAUUAUCUAUUGGGUAAGGUAACGGGUUACGAAGGAACUGAUCCUUAGCCGACCGGAGAGGGGGAUCGGCCACACGGGAACUGGGACACGCCCCGGACUCUUACGGGAGGAAGAGGUAGGGAAUCUUGCGCAAUGGGCGAAGGCCUGACGGGGCACCGCCGCGUGAUUGAUGAAGGUCUUCGGAUCGUAAAACUCUGUUAUUAGGGAAGAACAAAUGUGUAGGUAACUAUGCACGUCGUGACGGUACCUAAUCAGAAAGCCACGGCUAACUACGUG